AUAAUUAAAUUCAUUUAUUGUAAUAUUACAAAAUACAUUGCACACCUUGUUUAUCAAUGCUAUAAUUAAUUACAUAAUAAAUUGAACAUCUAAAUACACCAAAUCCCCUCACUACUGCCAUAGUGAGGGGAUUU
rnacentral:sRNA from 1 species